rnacentral:rRNA from 1 species
AAAUUGAAAAAGAACAACAGGUAUUGCCUUAGUAACGGCGAGUGAAGCGGCAAAAGCUCAAAUUUGAAAUCUGACGCUACUGGAGUCCGAGUUGUAAUUUGGAGAGGUAUCUUCUGGAGGGGCCCAGCCUAUGUUCCUUGGAACAGGACAUCGCAAAAGGGUGAGAAUCCCGUUCAUGGCUGGAUGUACCCUUUACUAGGUAGUGCCUUCUACGAGUCGAGUUGUUUGGGAAUGCAGCUCAAAAUGGGUGGUAAAUUUCAUCUAAAGCUAAAUAUUGGCGAGAGACCGAUAGCGCACAAGUAGAGUGAUCGAAAGAUGAAAAGCACUUUGAAAAUAGAGUCAAACAGUACGUGAAAUUGUUGAAAGGGAAGCGCUUGAGACCAGACUCAGCCUUUGGCAAACAACUGUCCUUCUGGGCGGUGCACUUGCCCUUGGCUGGGCCAGCAUCAGUUGGGAUGGCAGGAUAAAGGCCCGGGGAAUGUGACUCCAUUCAGGAGUGUUAUAGCUCUGGGUGCCAUGCUACCUGUCCUGACUGUGGACCGCGCUUUGGCUAGGAUGCUGGCAUAAUGGUCUUCAGCGGCCCGUCUUGAAACACGGACCAAGGAGUCUAACAUCUAUGCAAGUGUUUGGGCUAAAGACCCUUCCGCGUAAUGAAAGUGAACGGAGGUGGGAAUCCUGUAAGGGGCGCACCAUCGACCGAUCCUGAUGUCUUCGGAUGGAUUUGAGUAGGAGCAUAGCUGUUGGGACCCGAAAGAUGGUGAACUAUGCCUGAAUAGGGUGAAGCCAGAGGAAACUCUGGUGGAGGCUCGCAGCGGUUCUGACGUGCAAAUCGAUCGUCAAAUUUGGGCAUAGGGGCGAAAGACUAAUCGAACCCAUUCAAGUGCCC